AAAAAAGACGUCUACAUUUUUAUCUAGCGGAGUUUGCUUGUUUUGUGUUAAUAUUUAUUUCUAUCUAUCUUGGCCUAAAAUGAUUUGAGGUGGCUGACCUUAGCAUGUAGAUCAUGGCAAAGCAGAUUGUGGGCCAGGAAGUGACUUGAUCAGCACCUGCACAGGAAGAUAAUCUCGGAUGCAACUCCUUGGAGAAACAGAGCCAAGCAGCAGCCUAGAGUUAAUUAGCUGGUGAAGACUGAGUUCUCCCACAGAGAGGAAGCUCGGGUUAUCAAAGUAUUAUUAAUUGAUGCAUCUGGAGAAAGAGAGAAGCGGCCCCAUUUGGAUAGAGCUUGGAUGCUUUUAGCGCCAGAAUGGAAGAAAGGCCUUUCCUUAAAGUACGGGGCUUUAGCCAUGAAGCUAACAAUGGAUGAGGAAAAGAUGUUUUUGUUCCCCUACAGUGCAAAGGCAAGCUUGAAUCUCAAAUUUUAAUGGAAAGGAACUGGGGAGAAGGAGAACAUUUACCCAGUGUUUUUACUAUG